AUUGCUGACGGUAACUCUUUUAAUAUCUUCCCACCUAAUUAGGGGUUAGUGGCGCAGGGCCAAAAAUAGGCACCCAGCAGCAGUGAGAUCACCGUACGGCGGAGCCUAAGGAGGUCAGCGAGCGCCCUGUGAAACGCAGGACAGACGUGGUCUCGUGACGAAAGCUAACCUACAUUUGGGGUUUUGCAUUUCCAGAAUCAGACAGGCUGAACUUCUCCAUGGGGUUGACGACGAACAGCUUGUCUUUGUCUGUCACCGCCGGCAUCGGGAUGUUAUAAAGGGGAUGCUCAAACAGC